rnacentral:rRNA from 1 species
AGAGAGAGACAUGCGCGCAUAUCAAUAAGCGGAGGAAAAGAAACUAACAAGGAUUCCCUAGUAACGGCGAGUGAAGCGGGAAGAGCUCAAAUUUGAAAUCUUAAAGGUUUCCCUUGACGAAUUGUAGUUUAAAGAAGUGUUUUCUGUUGAGGUUUUGGUAAAAGUUCUUUGGAAUAGGACAUCAUAGAGGGUGAGAAUCCCGUAUUUGACCAUUACUUUCAGCUUUGUGAUACACUUUCAAAGAGUCGGAUUGUUUGGGAAUGCAGUCCAAAAUGGGUGGUAAAUUUCAUCUAAAGCUAAAUAUUGGCGAGAGACCGAUAGCGAACAAGUACCGUGAGGGAAAGAUGAAAAGAACUUUGAAAAGAGAGUUAAACAGUACGUGAAAUUGUCAAAAGGGAAGCGUUUGACACCAGUGUUGUUUUUCUGAAAAUCAAUUAAAGAACUGUUCAUGCUAAGCUGUUUAGACUUUAUCAGCUAUCUGUUUAGUUUUGAGCUUUUCUUUAAUGCACUUUUCAGUUAACAAGUCAACAUCAAUUUCUUUUGCUGUAAAAAAGCUUGAGGAAGGUGGCUUGAGAUUCGUCUUAAGUGUUUAUAGCCUCUUGCCUAUGCAGUCGGAGAGAUUGAGGUCUGCAGCGUAGAUCCUUCGGGGCUAAAUGCAUUUGUGCUAAGUUAUAGCAUUUUAUAGACAACUUGUUGACUAUGAUUUGUCUUGUAGCUUACUCGCUUAUGUUAUUUUACCUACGCUUAGGAUGUUGAGCGCAUGUCUCUCUCU